rnacentral:lncRNA from 1 species
AAGACCCCAAUUAACCCUAACCUUCUCCACUCAAUAUUUCUCUCGCCCUCAAAUACCUGGAUCUGGCGCCGCUUUGCAUUUUUAACUCCACUACCAUCGGUUCUUAACCAUUCAUUUGCAAUCGCUUUCUCUCUCCAGUAAUGGGUUAUAUUUAUUAUGAGGAAUCCGCGAGACGAGGCCGUGCCAGUUCUAUCGGAAGGGAAAGAAGCAGGGCAGAUAUGUGAAUAAGAACUUAUGGAGAGGAAUUUUCAGUGAUUUCUCUAAUAGAGAAUGCAACCUUCAUAUGUAAAGGUACCGGUGAAUUGAUUCAAUAGAUAAUUUUAAAUAUUUACUAUUUAAUUUCUUAUUUUUGUGCCGAAUAAAUUCUAAGAUCCAGUUUAAUUGCUCAUGGGUAGGUACUAAAUGUUUGAUGGAGAUAAAAUUCUAAUUGCUCGGAACUUCCAGAUUCGAUGUAAGAAUUAUGUGCUUUUUAGUUUUUAUAAAUGCUCAUUUUUAG